UGGGGAAUAUUGGACAAUGGGCGAAAGCCUGAUCCAGCCAUGCCGCGUGCGUGAAGAAGGUCUUCGGAUUGUAAAGCACUUUAAGUUGGGAGGAAGGGCAUUAACCUAAUACGUUAGUGUUUUGACGUUACCGACAGAAUAAGCACCGGCUAACUCUGUGCCAGCAGCCGCGGUAAUACAGAGGGUGCAAGCGUUAAUCGGAAUUACUGGGCGUAAAGCGCGCGUAGGUGGUUUGUUAAGUUGGAUGUGAAAUCCCCGGGCUCAACCUGGGAACUGCAUUCAAAACUGACUGACUAGAGUAUGGUAGAGGGUGGUGGAAUUUCCUGUGUAGCGGUGAAAUGCGUAGAUAUAGGAAGGAACACCAGUGGCGAAGGCGACCACCUGGACUAAUACUGACACUGAGGUGCGAAAGCGUGGGGAGCAAACA
rnacentral:rRNA from 1 species